AACAAGGUCUCCGUUGGUGAACCAGCGGAGGGAUCAUUACCGAGUUUAC
rnacentral:rRNA from 1 species